rnacentral:rRNA from 1 species
AUAUUGGACAAUGGGGGCAACCCUGAUCCAGCCAUGCCUCGCGUGUGAAGAAGGUCUUNGGAUUGNANAGCACUUUAAGUUGGGCNACAGGGCUUUAGGAUAAUACCAUGAAGGUUUGACGGUACCAACAGAAUAAGCAACGGCUAACUCUGUGCCAGAAGCCGCGGUAAUACAGAGGAUGCAAGCAUUAAGCGGAAUUACUGGGCGUAAAGCGCGCGUAGGUGGUUCAGUAAGAUGGGUGUGAAAACCCCGGGCAUAAACUGAGAAAUGCUUUCAUAACUGCUGGGAUAGAGUACGGUAGAGGGAAGUGGAAUUUCCUGUGUAGCGGUGAAAUGCGUAGAUAUAGGAAGGAACACCAGUGGCGAAGGCGACUACCUGGACUGAUACUGACACUGAGGUGCGAAAGCGUGGGGAGCAAAC